GUUUACUAUAAUCUUGGAUGAGUCAGGUUCCCGAAUGGUUGUGAGCUAUAUAUAUAUAAAGUAUUACGUUGCAGAGUAAUAGUGUAAUGUUUAUAUAGGGGUGAUAGGCCUGACAAACUACUUGAUAACUGGUUGUAUAGGAAAAAUAUUAAGUAGAAAGUCAAACUAAUAAUGUUAAGCUUGUUAGUUGGCAUAAAAUGAAAUACUCUCGAGUUGUACAGUGUAAAAGCUAAUAAAAGAAAGUUGAAAUAUUAUACUUAUAUAUUUAUGUAACGUACUAUAUCUAUUGUUUAAGGCAACGUUAGAUAAUGUAAAUAUAAGUAGUAAUAAUAAUUCAUAUUAAAGGAACUCGGCAAAUGUACUGCUCAACUGUUUAUCUAAAACAUAACCACAUGCAAGAUACAUGUGGCUGCUUCUGCUCCAUGGUAUGCUAAAUAGCCGCAGUACUCUGACUGUGCAAAGGUAGCAUAAUCAUUUGGCCUCUGAUUAAGGUCUGGUAUGAACGAAGUUAUGGGUGGUUGCUGUCUUAAUAUGUUACAAUGAAUUUAAUGUGCAAGUGCAAAUACUUGCGCCUUUAAAAUAGACGAGAAGACCCUAGAAGCUUGAUUUUUUUUUGUUGGGGCGACAGAAUUACAGUUAACUAAUUUUACACUACAGGACUUUUAAAGUCAGUUAAAGCUACUCUAGGGAUAACAGCAUAAUAUUUAAAAGUUUGUGACCUCGAUGUUGGACUAGGUACCUUGUUCCUUAGAAGGGAGCGAGCCACGCUCUGUUCGAGCAUUGUCACCUACAU
rnacentral:rRNA from 1 species